CAGGACGUCACUAGAGAAGACUAGGAGGACCUGUGUUCAGAUAUUAAGCUUUUCCAUAACUAAGUCUCAGUUUUACUUUCUAUAAAAAUAGGGGUGAUACGUGUGCCUGUACCAGAUGGCCUUGAGAGACCACAGCUAGGUAGCCUGGGAGAGCGGGUGGAGGCAGAAGGUGAUGGAGUGAGCCGCUGCAUGAGAAAGGUGCAGCAGGGCAGGAAGUGGCGUCUUAAAGGGAUAUGUCCUGUGACCCAGGACCCAGGUGGAGAUGCAGAUUUCCUCCUGUGACUGAAGGUUUUCAGGGAAAAUGGAUCUAUUGCCUGAAAACUGACUGAGCACAUUUCUCAUCAGAUCUUAAUCACAACAUUCUUUCCUACAUCAAACAGAGAUAAUGACAGGGCCUGAUUGGAUUGGGAGAGAUUUAGGUAUGAUAACCCAUGAGAAGCUUUUAGCAUUGUGUUUCUAAGAAAUAAUAGAAUAAGAAUAAGAUAUUGUUAAUAAUUAGAACAGAAAAAUAUAUUCUAUUAUUAUUUUUGUUGUUACUAAUAUUACUACUCAGUUGAAAAUGGGAACCCAGAAUCAUCAGGGAAAUUUGUCACCGAGAAGUAGUCCCGGAUGCAAGGUUCUGGUUUAUAAACAAAAUUCUAGAUUUAAAAGUUGAGCCAGACUCAGGGAACUGUUAGUCAGAAUUCCAUUACAAGAAUCAAUGUAAAGGGUAGGACAUGGAAACGGGUCCCCAGAAUGUGGCCAAAGCCUGACACAAUCUGAGCUUCGAUCUGAGUUCCAUGUUGUUAUUAUGAGAUUCUAAAAUUCUUUUAGAGUGAGGGCAGGAUUCCAAAGCCCGCAGUCUGAGCGGGGCCUCACAACAGUGGGGCACGAAGCAGGAGCUUCCGUGAGCAUAGCCUUAGCAAUGAUCUUAACCUGCCCACAUGUUUCUUUUUUUUUGUAUUUAUUAUUAAUUAUUAUUAUUAUUAUUUAUUUUUAUUUUUUUAUUUUAUUAUUAUUAUACUUUAAGUUUUAGGGUACAUGU
rnacentral:lncRNA from 10 species